UACAGAGGUCCCAAGCGUUGUUCGGAUUCACUGGGCGUAAAGGGUGCGUAGGUGGCGAAGUAAGUCGGAUGUGAAAUCUCCGAGCUCAACUCGGAAACUGCAUUGGAAACUGCUUCGCUCGAGGGAUGGAGGGGGGACUGGAAUUCUCGGUGUAGCAGUGAAAUGCGUAGAGAUCGAGAGGAACACCAGUGGCGAAGGCGGGUCUCUGGACAGUUCCUGACACUGAGACACGAAGGCCAGGGGAGCAAACGGG
rnacentral:rRNA from 1 species